rnacentral:rRNA from 1 species
UAAAACCCCUACUCAGUUCGGACUGGAGUCUGCAACCCGACUCCACGAAGCUGGAUUCGCUAGUAAUCGCGCAUCAGCCACGGCGCGGUGAAUACGUUCCCGGGCCUUGUACACACCGCCCGUCAAGCCAUGGGAGCCGGGGGUACCUGAAGUGCGUAACCGCGAGGAUCGCCCUAGGAUAAAACUGGUGACUGGGGCUAAGUCGUAACAAGGUACC